rnacentral:rRNA from 1 species
GACGAACGCUGGCGGCGUGCUUAAUACAUGCAAGUAGAACGCUGAAGAGAGGAGCUUACUCUUCUUGGAUGAGUUGCGAACGGGUGAGUAACGCGUAGGUAACCUGCCUUGUAGCGGGGGAUAACUAUUGGAAACGAUAGCUAAUACCGCAUAACAAUGGAUGACACAUGUCAUUUAUUUGAAAGGGGCAAUUGCUCCACUACAAGAUGGACCUGCGUUGUAUUAGCUAGUAGGUGAGGUAAUGGCUCACCUAGGCGACGAUACAUAGCCGACCUGAGAGGGUGAUCGGACACACUGGGACUGAGACACGGCCCAGACUCCUACGGGAGGCAGCAGUAGGGAAUCUUCGGCAAUGGGGGCAACCCUGACCGAGCAACGCCGCGUGAGUGAAGAAGGGUUUCGGAUCGUAAAGCUCGGUUGUAAGUCAAGAACGGGUGUGAGAGUGGAAAGUUCACACUGUGACGGUAGCUUACCAGAAAGGGACGGCUAACUACGUG